rnacentral:rRNA from 1 species
AUUGAACGCUGGCGGCAGGCCUAACACAUGCAAGUCGAGCGGUAGAGAGGUGCUUGCACCUCUUGAGAGCGGCGGACGGGCGAGUAAUGCCUAGGAAUCUGCCUGGUAGUGGGGGAUAACGCUCGGAAACGGACGCUAAUACCGCAUACGUCCUACGGGAGAAAGCAGGGGACCUUCGGGCCUUGCGCUACCAGAUGAGCCUAGGUCGGAUUAGCUAGUUGGUGAGGUAAUGGCUCACCAAGGCGACGAUCCGUAACUGGUCUGAGAGGAUGAGCACUCCCACUGGAACUGGGACACGGGCCAGACUCCUACGGGAGGCAGUAGUGGGGAAUAUUGGACAAUGGGCGAAAGCCUGAUCCAGCCAUGCCGCGUGUGUGAAGAAGGUCUUCGGAUUGUAAAGCACUUUAAGUUGGGAGGAAGGGUCGCUACCUAAUACGUGACGAUUUUGACGUUACCGACAGAAUAAGCACCGGCUAACUCUGUGCCAGCCGCCGCGGUAAUAC